GCUAACCUGCCCUGGGACGAGAACAACCCCGGGAAACUGGGGCUAAUUCGCGAUAGGUGAAGAACUCUGGAAUGAGUCUUCGCCCAAAAGACGUUGGGGUUAUGCUCUCCAACGCCGCCCAAGGAUGGGGCCGCGGCCGAUCAGGUUGUUGGUGAGGUAAUGGCUCACCAAGCCUUUUACCGGUGCGGGCCGUGGGAGCGGGAGCCCGGAGAUGGGCACUGAGACAAGGGCCCAGGCCCUACGGGGCGCAGCAGUCGCGAAAACUUUGCAAUAAGCGAAAGCUUGACAGGGCUAUCCCGAGUGCCAUCCGCUGAGGAAGGCUUUUACCCAGUCUAGAACGCUGGGGGAAUAAGGAGAGGGCAAGUCUGGUGUCAGCCGCCGCGGUAAUACCAGCUCUCCGAGUGGUGUGGAUGUUUAUUGGGCCUAAAGCAUCCGUAGCUGGCUAGGUUAGUCCCCUGUUAAAUCCACCGAAUUAAUCGUUGGAUUGCGGGGGAUACUGCUUGGCUAGGGGACGAGAGAGGCAGACGGUAUUUCCGGGGUAGGGGUGAAAUCCUAUAAUCCCGGGAAGACCACCAGUGGCGAAGGCUGUCUGCUAGAACGCGCCCGACGGUGAGGGACGAAAGCUGGGGGAGCGAACCGGAUUAGAUACCCGGGUAGUCCCAGCUGUAAACGAUGCAGACUAGGUGUUUGGACGGCCACGUGCCGUUCUAGUGCCGCAGGGAAGCUGUUAAGUCUGCCGCCUGGGGAGUACGAUCGCAAGAUUGAACUUAAAGGAAUUGGCGGGGGAGCAC
rnacentral:rRNA from 1 species